rnacentral:ribozyme from 1 species
UCUUCUUUCUUUUUCGUUGUUGUUGUUUUUUCUUUCUCUUUCUCCUCUACUAUUGCCUGUGAAAUAUAACAAUG